GACGAACGCUGGCGGCAUGCCUAACACAUGCAAGUCGAACGGAGAUUAUUUCGGUAAUCUUAGUGGCGAACGGGUGAGUAACGCGUGGGCAACCUGCCCUCUAGAUGGGGACAACAUCCCGAAAGGGGUGCUAAUACCGAAUGUGACAGCAAUCUCGCAUGAGGAUGCUGUGAAAGAUGGCCUCUAUUUAUAAGCUAUCGCUAGAGGAUGGGCCCGCGUCUGAUUAGCUAGUUGGUGGGGUAACGGCCUACCAAGGCGAUGAUCAGUAGCCGGUCUGAGAGGAUGAACGGCCACAUUGGGACUGAGACACGGCCCAGACUCCUACGGGAGGCAGCAGUGGGGAAUCUUCCGCAAUGGGCGAAAGCCUGACGGAGCAAUGCCGCGUGAGUGAUGAAGGAAUUCGUUCCGUAAAGCUCUUUUGUUUAUGACGAAUGUGCAGAUUGUGAACAAUGAUCUGUAAUGACGGUAGUAAACGAAUAAGCCACGGCUAACUACGUG
rnacentral:rRNA from 1 species